rnacentral:rRNA from 1 species
AAUGAACGCUGGCGGCAUGCCUUACACAUGCAAGUCGAACGGCAGCAUGACCUAGCUUGCUAGGUUGAUGGCGAGUGGCGAACGGGUGAGUAAUGCAUCGGAACGUGCCUUUUAGUGGGGGAUAACGUAGCGAGAGUUACGCUAAUACCGCAUAUUCUCUGAGGAGGAAAGCAGGGGACCUUCGGGCCUUGCGCUAGAAGAGCGGCCGAUGUCGGAUUAGCUAGUUGGUGAUGUAAAGGCUCACCAAGGCAACGAUCCGUAGCGGGUCUGAGAGGAUGAUACGCCACACUGGGACUGAGACACGGCCCAGACUCCUACGGGAGGCAGCAGUGGGGAAUUUUGGACAAUGGGCGCAAGCCUGAUCCAGCCAUGCCGCGUGAGUGAAGAAGGCCUUCGGGUUGUAAAGCUCUUUCGGCUGGGAAGAAAUCGCACCCUCUAAUACAGGGUGUGGAUGACGGUACCAGCAUAAGAAGCACCGGCUAACUACGUG